AUUGAACGCUGGCGGCAUGCUUUACACAUGCAAGUCGAACGGUAACAGGCCGCAAGGUGCUGACGAGUGGCGAACGGGUGAGUAAUGCAUCGGAACGUGCCCAGUCGUGGGGGAUAACGCAGCGAAAGCUGCGCUAAUACCGCAUACGAUCUAUGGAUGAAAGCGGGGGACCGUAAGGCCUCGCGCGAUUGGAGCGGCCGAUGUCAGAUUAGGUAGUUGGUGGGGUAAAGGCUCACCAAGCCAACGAUCUGUAGCUGGUCUGAGGGGACGACCAGCCACACUGGGACAGAGACACGGCCCAGACUCCUACGGGAGGCAGCAGUGGGGAAUUUUGGACAAUGGGCGCAAGCCUGAUCCAGCAAUGCCGCGUGCAGGAAGAAGGCCUUCGGGUUGUAAACUGCUUUUGUACGGAACGAAACGGCUCUCACUAAUACUGGGGGCUAAUGACGGUACCGUAAGAAUAAGCACCGGCUAACUACGUGCCAGCCGCCGCAGUAAGAC
rnacentral:rRNA from 1 species